rnacentral:lncRNA from 1 species
UUUUUUUUUUUUUUUGGUUUUUUUAGGGCAACACCUGUGGCAUAUGGAAGUUCCAGGCUAGGGGUCAAAUUGGAGUUGCAGCUGCCAGACUAUGGCACAGCUACAGCAAUUUGGGAUUCGAGCCACAUCUAUGACCUACACCGCAGCUCACGGCAAUGCCGGAUCCUUAACCCACUGAGCGAGGCCAGGGAUGGAACCUGUAUCCUCAUGUAUACCAGUCAGGUUCAUUACCGCUGAGCCACAGUGGGAACUCCCCUAACAGUCCUGAUUCUGUACUUCUCCGAGCAUCCAUCCUCUUUGACAUAUAACCUCGUAGAUCUGGCCGUGGGGCUUGCUUUGGCUCAGUGGAUGUGUGUUAGCAGACAGGAUGUGAGCCAUGGCUUGGAGAGGCACUGGUGCCUCGCUGCUUGCACCCUGGCUUGUCUACCACAAGAACAUGCCUGGGCAAGACUGCUGGAGUGUGACGAUGCGCACAGUCUUGUCAGCUCAGUCCUGUCAUCCUGGCCUAAGUUAGUGUAGAUCAGGCAGCAUCCAGCCAAACCCACAGGGAAUGGCGAGGCCAGUUAAGACCAGCACAGCCACUUAACUGACCCUUAGCUGACCUCAGGUUCAGGAGUGAACCAACACACAGAGGCUCAUGAUUUAGACGGCGAGCUAAACAAAUACUUCUCAUUGUUCACCAGGGAGCUUGGUGGCUAUUACGAAGCACCACUGUGGCAAUCAAUAGCUGAUACACAGAUUUUAUAUAUAUGCAUACACACCCCCCCACACACAUACACACCCACCCACCCAUAUGUAUAUAUAACAUCACUAUGGCUUUGAUUAUAAUUUGCUAUACAUCCUAAACUGACAUUUCUCUCUUUGCUUUGGAGGUACUGGCACAAAUUGGUUUCAUUUUACACACACACACACAAUACAGACUCAUGACUUCGAUUAAAACUUGACAUGAGGAAGCUGAAAACUCUGAAGGCUGUGCUCUUCCUCUUAGGCCUCAUGUUUCCCCUCCCAAUCCAUUUAUCUUAAAUAAAAAUCAAAUGUAUUUUUAAAAAAUUAAACAGGUCAUGGAGUUCCCAUUGUGGCUCAGUGGUAACGAACCUGACUAGUAUCCACGAGAACGUGUGUUCGAUCCCUGGCCUCACUCAGUGGGCUGGGAAUCGAACCCACAUUCUCACAGAGACUAUAUUGGGUUCUUAACCUGCUGAGCCACAAUGGGGAGGGACUCCACUCCCCAAUUUAUUAUGGUUCUUCACCCAACUUUCCCAGUAGGGAUCUGCAAUGUGUAAUUAAUUUGUGCCUCCCCAGUGCUCAGCCUAUAGCCAGGCCAUCAUAGUGGUGGAGGCUGCCAUAGAACGUUCUGUGUCCCCCUGUUGUUUCCUCUCUUGGGAUUGACCCCUUUGAGGGCAGAGGAUUGGGUCCCCAAUCCCUGCACCUGCUCGUUACUGAAUUGACCGGGUGGACCAGAUGGCGCCCUGAAGAGGAAACAAGCUCUUUCUCACCCCAGCGCAUACCCGCUCUGGGCUCUGCAGCCCUCUCACAACCCAGCUCGAUGCAAGACAGGAAGCAAACUAGGCUUACAGCAGCCUCAGGCGAGCGGCGGGGAAAUCAGUAGAUCGGUGCACAAAGGAGCGUUUACUAACGCUAUCAUGCUACCCUGCCCUCGUGGAGCCGUUGUGACAUUCUGCAUGAAAGGAGUGACAACCCUCGACUGCUGUGCGUAACGGAGGCCUGGCAUCGUCUUGGCUCCCAGCCCCCAGAACCCUCCUGCUUUCUGGCAACGGAUGGCACACGGGGAUCAGGCGAAACUGAUGGCUUCGUGCAAAAACGUCCUUGUGGACCCUCUAAGUGCUUUGUAGUGUGGCUGCACUUCCGGCUGCCUGUCAGGAGCAUGAUUUUCAUUAAAUAUUAAGGAACUGUUUAUUAAAAUAAUGUUGUCAUGGCAACCAUGGGGGGGGGAGAAGGGUGCUGAAAUAGCCUGGUGCUGCCCGAAUUGCAGCCUGUUAAUCAAGUGCUUGGUGCUAUUUAAUGAGCCUUUUUUGUUUUCUUUUUCUUUUUUAUGGCUGCACCUGCGGCAUAUGGAAGUUCCUGGGCCAGGAAUCGAAUCCAAGUCGCAGCUGCGACCUAUGCCGCAGUUGUGGCAAUGCCGGAUCCUUAACCCACUGCUCCACAGGGGGAACUCCAUGAGCUCCUUUCUCUGUGUGCCUCCUUGUGACAGUGAAUUUGAGGGACCCAAGGACUUAGGGUUUGCUUCAGUUGUCCCUGUCAAAGCUGUGGGCGUUCAGGGGUUCUGGUGCUGGGCUGUGUUUGCUGGCUGGAUGGGUGAUGGAAACCAAAUUUUAGAUGUUCACAUCAGAGGUGUUUCUCAUGGCUCUUCCCUUUUUUCAUCUCUCUUUCACAAUUUUGCCAGAGAACUAGGGGAAAGUAAAUGGGGGAAAGGCACGGCCCAAGGUUCCUUUGCCUGAAAGGAGAGCUGAUGGCAACAGGAAGGGCAGAGGAGGAGAGGUAGACUCAGACCUCCUGGGUUCAAAUCCCCACUCCAUCUCCCCGCCCAACCCCGUGUCACUUCAAGUUAGUGACCUGCUCCCCAAGCAGCUUCUGCAUCACAAGUGUUCACAAAUAUGCAUCCUUCAGAGGGCUGUCGAGGGGGUUCAGGGAGAUGAAGCUCUUACCACUGUGCUUGCCCAGAGUAAGCACUCAACAAAUCCACCGCCACCACCUCUGCUCCUGCUCCAGGCCCUGCUGCAGCCACCACAAUGGUUAUGAGCCCGCCUCUCCCUGCUCCUGCCCAGGGAAGGCCCCAGGGUGCUUUCACGGCCUAAAGGUCUAACGGAGCCCUGACCAGCCAGUACAGGACCCAAACCCAGCUGGUUGGCUCUACAACCCAUGUUCUCUCAGAGGCUGGCAAACUUUUUCUGGAAAGGACCAGAUAGUAAAUAUUUUAGGCUUGGUGGGUCACAUGCAGUCUCUGUCACACUUUUUUUUUUUUUUUUUCCCAAACAAUCUUUACAAAAUACAAAGCCAUUCUUAGCUCACAGGCUGCUCAGAGAUAGGCAUGGUUGGCUGGUCCCUACCAUGCUGCCUUAUGAGGAAAUAGAGGAAAAAAGGAACACGACGUAAAGGGAUGUGUGGCUAUGGAUUUUUUUUUUUUCCCACU